UGUUGUCUCCUUUUUAAUGUAGAUUUAUAUGUUUAUUACCACAGCGUCUGCUUUGUAUUCUGUCCAAAAAAUACAAUUUCAAAUGUCAAUACAUCCAGCUGGAACAAAGCAUAUGCUUUUCUUACAAAAAAACAAACAAACAGAUAAAUCAACAUUAAAAAGGACACAAGAUGCUGGGAGGGGGGAAAAUAAAUUCUUAAGCCUCAUAUACAAAGGCCAAGGAAGUCUGAUGUCUACCAGUCCAAAGAUAACUGAAA